rnacentral:rRNA from 1 species
UACGGAGGGUGCAAGCGUUAAUCGGAAUUACUGGGGGUAAAGCGUGCGCAGGCGGUUUGUUAAGUCUGUUGUGAAAUCCCCGAGCUCAACUUGGGAAUUGCAAUGGAUACUGGCAGGCUCGAGUAUGGUAGAGGAAGGUGGAAUUCCCGGUGUAGCAGUGAAAUGCGUAGAGAUCGGGAGGAACACCAGUGGCGAAGGCGGCCUUCUGGACCAAUACUGACGCUCAUGCACGAAAGCGUGGGGAGCAAACAGG